GGUUAAGCGACUAAGCGUACACGGUGGAUGCCCUGGCAGUCAGAGGCGAUGAAGGACGUGCUAAUCUGCGAUAAGCGUCGGUAAGGUGAUAUGAACCGUUAUAACCGGCGAUUUCCGAAUGGGGAAACCCAGUGUGAUUCGUCACACUAUCAUUAACUGAAUCCAUAGGUUAAUGAGGCGAACCGGGGGAACUGAAACAUCUAAGUACCCCGAGGAAAAGAAAUCAACCGAGAUUCCCCCAGUAGCGGCGAGCGAACGGGGAGGAGCCCAGAGCCUGAAUCAGUGUGUGUGUUAGUGGAAGCGUCUGGAAAGGCGCGCGAUACAGGGUGACAGCCCCGUACACAAAAAUGCACAUGCUGUGAGCUCGAUGAGUAGGGCUGGACACGUGGUAUCCUGUCUGAAUAUGGGGGGACCAUCCUCCAAGGCUAAAUACUCCUGACUGACCGAUAGUGAACCAGUACCGUGAGGGAAAGGCGAAAAGAACCCCGGCGAGGGGAGUGAAAAAGAACCUGAAACCGUGUACGUACAAGCAGUGGGAGCCUCUUUAUGGGGUGACUGCGUACCUUUUGUAUAAUGGGUCAGCGACUUAUAUUCUGUAGCAAGGUUAACCGAAUAGGGGAGCCGAAGGGAAACCGAGUCUUAACUGGGCGUUAAGUUGCAGGGUAUAGACCCGAAACCCGGUGAUCUAGCCAUGGGCAGGUUGAAGGUUGGGUAACACUAACUGGAGGACCGAACCGACUAAUGUUGAAAAAUUAGCGGAUGACUUGUGGCUGGGGGUGAAAGGCCAAUCAAACCGGGAGAUAGCUGGUUCUCCCCGAAAGCUAUUUAGGUAGCGCCUCGUGAAUUCAUCUCCGGGGGUAGAGCACUGUUUCGGCAAGGGGGUCAUCCCGACUUACCAACCCGAUGCAAACUGCGAAUACCGGAGAAUGUUAUCACGGGAGACACACGGCGGGUGCUAACGUCCGUCGUGAAGAGGGAAACAACCCAGACCGCCAGCUAAGGUCCCAAAGUCAUGGUUAAGUGGGAAACGAUGUGGGAAGGCCCAGACAGCCAGGAUGUUGGCUUAGAAGCAGCCAUCAUUUAAAGAAAGCGUAAUAGCUCACUGGUCGAGUCGGCCUGCGCGGAAGAUGUAACGGGGCUAAACCAUGCACCGAAGCUGCGGCAGCGACACUAUGUGUUGUUGGGUAGGGGAGCGUUCUGUAAGCCUGUGAAGGUGUGCUGUGAGGCAUGCUGGAGGUAUCAGAAGUGCGAAUGCUGACAUAAGUAACGAUAAAGCGGGUGAAAAGCCCGCUCGCCGGAAGACCAAGGGUUCCUGUCCAACGUUAAUCGGGGCAGGGUGAGUCGCCCCCUAAGGCGAGGCCGAAAGGCGUAGUCGAUGGGAAACAGGUUAAUAUUCCUGUACUUGGUGUUACUGCGAAGGGGGGACGGAGAAGGCUAUGUUGGCCGGGCGACGGUUGUCCCGGUUUAAGCGUGUAGGCUGGUUUUCCAGGCAAAUCCGGAAAAUCAAGGCUGAGGCGUGAUGACGAGGCACUACGGUGCUGAAGCAACAAAUGCCCUGCUUCCAGGAAAAGCCUCUAAGCAUCAGGUAACAUCAAAUCGUACCCCAAACCGACACAGGUGGUCAGGUAGAGAAUACCAAGGCGCUUGAGAGAACUCGGGUGAAGGAACUAGGCAAAAUGGUGCCGUAACUUCGGGAGAAGGCACGCUGAUAUGUAGGUGAAGCGACUUGCUCGUGGAGCUGAAAUCAGUCGAAGAUACCAGCUGGCUGCAACUGUUUAUUAAAAACACAGCACUGUGCAAACACGAAAGUGGACGUAUACGGUGUGACGCCUGCCCGGUGCCGGAAGGUUAAUUGAUGGGGUCAGCGCAAGCGAAGCUCUUGAUCGAAGCCCCGGUAAACGGCGGCCGUAACUAUAACGGUCCUAAGGUAGCGAAAUUCCUUGUCGGGUAAGUUCCGACCUGCACGAAUGGCGUAAUGAUGGCCAGGCUGUCUCCACCCGAGACUCAGUGAAAUUGAACUCGCUGUGAAGAUGCAGUGUACCCGCGGCAAGACGGAAAGACCCCGUGAACCUUUACUAUAGCUUGACACUGAACAUUGAGCCUUGAUGUGUAGGAUAGGUGGGAGGCUUAGAAGUGUGGACGCCAGUCUGCAUGGAGCCGACCUUGAAAUACCACCCUUUAAUGUUUGAUGUUCUAACGUUGACCCGUGAUCCGGGUUGCGGACAGUGUCUGGUGGGUAGUUUGACUGGGGCGGUCUCCUCCUAAAGAGUAACGGAGGAGCACGAAGGUUGGCUAAUCCUGGUCGGACAUCAGGAGGUUAGUGCAAUGGCAUAAGCCAGCUUGACUGCGAGCGUGACGGCGCGAGCAGGUGCGAAAGCAGGUCAUAGUGAUCCGGUGGUUCUGAAUGGAAGGGCCAUCGCUCAACGGAUAAAAGGUACUCCGGGGAUAACAGGCUGAUACCGCCCAAGAGUUCAUAUCGACGGCGGUGUUUGGCACCUCGAUGUCGGCUCAUCACAUCCUGGGGCUGAAGUAGGUCCCAAGGGUAUGGCUGUUCGCCAUUUAAAGUGGUACGCGAGCUGGGUUUAGAACGUCGUGAGACAGUUCGGUCCCUAUCUGCCGUGGGCGCUGGAGAACUGAGGGGGGCUGCUCCUAGUACGAGAGGACCGGAGUGGACGCAUCACUGGUGUUCGGGUUGUCAUGCCAAUGGCACUGCCCGGUAGCUAAAUGCGGAAGAGAUAAGUGCUGAAAGCAUCUAAGCACGAAACUUGCCCCGAGAUGAGUUCUCCCUGACUCCUUGAGAGUCCUGAAGGAACGUUGAAGACGACGACGUUGAUAGGCUGGGUGUGUAAGCGCAGCGAUGCGUUGAGCUAACCGGUACUAAUGAACCGUGAGGCUUAACCUU
rnacentral:rRNA from 1 species